rfam:Lactobacillus apis strain Hma11 genomic scaffold Hma11_scaffold2, whole genome shotgun sequence.
GAGAACAAGAAGAAGCUCCCGCUUCUCGCCUAUGUUAAGUUGACCUCUGGGCUAAUCGAUAUUUUCUGUUGAUUAAAGGCGGGUACGUUUUACCCGUCUUUUUCUUGUCCU